CUGAAACAAUCCUCAUAUUCAAAUGUUCAUAAAAUGACGGCUGCACAUGAUAAUUACUAUAGAUUCAUAGACCCAAUAUGGAAACAAAAUGUCAGUAUCCUGUGUAACUGGUUUGCUCUAUAGGAAAUACAGAUAAAUUAAACACACAUAUGAUAUCACAAGAAAAUUGCCCUUAUAGUGUAACAUAGAAGGGCACUCACCUCGAGUAACAUCCUCAAAACUCUGAAGAAGUUUUGCAACCAGAAAUCAAACAAGAACAGUCACUAUACAAAAUUUUAAUAUAUCAAUGUCUUGUAUAUUUAUAACUAUCAAUUCUCAAGGUAGAACAAAAAACUUUCCACGAGGAGUAGAUCGACUCCUCCUGAAUUCAGGAGUCGAUGUGUUGCCAGCUUCCUUGGGAUUACGAAUUGCAUUAUUUGGAAGCUUGUUUUCAGGUUUCCCUGCCAAUAAUGGUUCCACGGCAUGCACAACUCCUCUUAGUUCAAGAUUUUGAGAGUUUCUUGAGAAGCUCUUUUGAAGCUUCUUUAACUUCAGAGCACCCAGUAUUGGAGACCCAGGAAGCAAAUGAUCAUUUUCUGGCUCUGAAAAGUCACUCUUUCUUGGCUCCUCUUUCUUUUCAAUAGCAUCCAUAUCAGAAUGCAUAUCAGACUUCUGAAAAUUUGCAGGUAGUUGAUGUUUUGCCUUAACCUUACUUUCAAGUUUGUUUUUUCUAAUGCCACCUUGUCUUAUAUUAAGAGCUUGCCUAAACUGCUCCUCUUCAUGUUCUGGGAAUACUUUCCUGGAGCUAAUUUUUUGGAGGUUAAACAAUGCUUCGGAGAUGUUAUUCUGCUUUGCUGCUUCUUGUGGAUUUGUGUAUGAAACCUUUGUGCUGUUAUCUGUUGAUGCGGUUACUGGCAUUGCAGCAACAGAUUUAUUGACAUGUACUCUAGCUGGAAAGGGUACUUUUGCGACCGGUUGAUUGUCAACUGUCUCAGCUUUGGUCUUACCCCUAAUGAGAGCCCCUCUGUCUGUGGAGAUUGACCUCCUAACAGGAGGAGAUGGUGACCUCAUCUUUGCAGAGCUUGCUAAACUCUCUUCAACUACAGAAGCAAUCUUUGGCCCUGCAGUUUCCUUGUCUGUGAGUGCUGAAGGAAAUCUCGACCUCCGUUGCUUACCCGAAGAACUACUUCUUGGCUCAGAACUUCUAACUUCAUCAUUUGGUCGUUGGCAUGUUUCAGGUUUUAAGUUGGCACUUGCACCAUAUCUUGGCAUAUAGAAUGGAGAAACAGGUCUAGCCCUUUGAGAUUCUGCUGUGGUUCUAGUAUUUCCCCCUUUUAUUUGUUCUAGCUCAGCUUCCUUUCUUUCCAACAUCUCUUUAAGAUAUGAAAUCUCUUCUUUAAGUUCUCGAAUUUCGCCAGUUUCUUUGUUUGAUCGAGCCGCCCCAAGUUCAAUAGAAGCAACUCUCUCUGCAAAUUUGAGAGUGCUAAUUGUCUCCCCAAUAGCAUUAACUUCAGGGUUUAUGUGCACAAACAUCAAUGUUUUAGCUUGUCCACCUAAAGAAUCUUGUAAGACUUGUGUAAGCUUGCUAUUUCUAUAGGGAACAUGUGCACUCUUCUGCGCAAGAGCAGAUAUCACAUCUCCAAGUGCAGACAGAGAUCGAUUAAUAUGUUGAGCUUCUCUCAAUCUCUCACCUACAGCUUCAGAUUUAUCUACUCUUUCACUUCCAGCCAAAUCCACUAAAUGAAGGCAACCCCUAAGGAUGGAUCCAGAAACUAACUCUUUUCCAUGAACAUGAAUUGUCAAAACACUAUGUGAACGGCUGCUUCGUUCAUUUAGAGCAGUUGCACCAACAGCACGAUUUCUCUGACCAAUAAUCAUGACAUCAAGAACAUCUCGAGUACUUGAAACUGGAAUCCAACUUGCAUCUGGUACAUUAAGUCCAUUUAAUUGGGAAUUGUUACGUAUAUCUAAUGUAAGUGUCAUUAAGGAAAUCAACUCCUCUCAGCUGAAUGUAACCAUAAUUUUGUCAGGAUAAACACGUUAUAAAAAGUUAAUUUUCAAAGGAUAUCUACGGUUUGAUCCAUCACUAACUAAUAGGUCUCUCACUUGUUCAUUGUAUAUUUCAAUCAUUUGAACUCCAACUUCAUAAUUUAUCAUAUCUGCUCUUGUCUUUGCAAUCUGAAACAAGUCACGAAGAGCUCUGUAGUUCACACCCCAUGUUUCCUCAGUGGUCAAAUCAGGACCGCUCAUUGUAUAUGUCUUCCCUGAUCCAGUUUGCCCAUAUGCGAAGAUACAAACAUUAUAACCAUCUAGGACAGAUCUGAUCAAUGGUUGAGUAUCAUUAUAGAUUUGCUCUUGUGUCACACUUGUUCCAAACACUUUGUUGAAAGAAAAUAUCCUUCUUGCAUCUUUGCCAUGCUUAAGAGGAUUGACAAUCAUGAUAUUCCCAUUUUCUCCAAUAUAAUCUACAGUAGACUGUACAUUUGAUUGUCCUGAUAAGAAGGGCCUUACUCUACAAUAGACCCUGAUUGUUCCUUUUAGGUCUUGGACUUGAUUGUAAAGUUGACGAUUUUCCUCCAAAACUUGGUGGUAACAGGUGGAUGCAACUUCAAGGUCCUUGAUAUGGUGCUCAAGCCUACUGAGUUCUUCUUUCCAGUCUGCUUGCAUAUGUUUAACUUCUCUUUUUGUCACUUUGUAAUGCAUUCUUACUUCCUCAAGCUGUUUCUGAUGAAGAUCAAUUUGCUCUGUCUGAACAAGAGAAUGACUAACAGUGUGCCGAACAGCUUCCCGUUUUCCUCCACAGACACAAAAUUUGGAGAAAUCACUUGAUACCAAAUUAGUUCUUUGUCUAAGAUAUUGUGAAAUGGCUUCUAUAAAUUCGGACUUUGAUAAGAAACCAAUAUCACCCUUCAGUAUUUUCUUCAGAAAUAGGCCAAGCUGUGUGCCUUGAGAAACAAGCAAUGCUGAGAAAUCUUUUACUACCUUACUGAGUAAAGCAUCUAUCACCAUUGCAUUCAAAGGCAGCUCUUCAAUCCCAUUACUCUCUCUAAGGUAAGCUUGUAGGAGACCAAGUCCAAAGUGAUCAAAAAGAAACGCCAAAGCAUUGGCAGUUUUCGAUUCUUCGAUUGAAACUUCAUUAGAAAGAUGGAGAAAAUCUAAUAGUUGUUCAUAUUGUGAUGAUUCAGAUUCAUCAACUGACUCAUCAGCACUUUCGCUGCCAACCAAGGACAAUGGAGACUCCUUUGGAAAGGAUACAAUCUUCACAAGCCCCCCAUAUCUCCAUACCCCAAUUCCCCCGGCCUGCUUCCACUCAUAAUAUCCUUUCAAACAUAAAAUACAAUCUACAACCUUGCUUGAUGAGCCUCCCUUCUCCAAAUCUGAUGCUUCAAAAGUCAAAAGCUUCAUGUCUUUAACAGCCACCAAAAAAUUUCUCAUGUUUUCAAAAUACUGAAUUGCAGACUGUGCUGCUCCUUCAGCUGACUGCACUGCAAUUAUUGGAUUUUCCACCACCUUGAGUACAGCACCAGGAUUGACUUUGUUGAGAACAUUGCAGAGAAUGAGACCAUUUCUUAGUGCAAGGCAGAACUCUUCCUCAGAGGGAUCUUUGGGAAGAGUUGCUGAUGCACCUUGGUCCAUCUUCCUUAACCAUUCUGCUGCUUGGUACCUCCUUGAUGCUGCUUCUUCAGCUUUUCUUUGAGCUAAUUCAUGGUCAUUGAUGAUCUCCUCAGCAUAGGAAGCCUCAUUGUUGGAAACCGAAGUCUUUAAUCCUCUCAAGUUCUUGCAAGGAGAGAUGAAAAUUGAACCACAGUUUGUUUCUUGUGGCAUCUUUUUACCCCUUGUAAGGGUCUUCAAAAUUUUAAGCCAAAGGCAGAUUUUAAGGAGAAUAAUGUAGUAGAAUAAUUAAUUAAAGAGGUUUUAGCGAAGAAUGAAGAACAGCAGAUCCAAUAUUUAACACAGAAAUUAAUGAUAGCUGAAGGAAACAAGCUACUCGUGUGUAGUGAAUGAUCAUCAAAACAAAUAGCCUCUUAAUGUUCUUGCCAGUUGCCACAUAUGUAGAGAGAGAGAGAGAGAGAGA
rnacentral:misc_RNA from 1 species